UAAUAAAAUCACUCAAUUUUCUAUCAUAUUUAUUUAAUAUUCACAAAACACUAAUUUUGUUUUACUCGUCACAUUAGCCACCCAAUCUCCCCGAAGAACAAAAAUUUGAGCUGCGGAAACAAUAUUCCCCAAUAAUUGCUACAUUUCACGGCGGCGAUUACUCCAAAAGAAAUCGUAAAUGGACGCUGCGACCAUGACGGCGUUCUGCACGACGUCGUUUCAGCUCAAAUUCGCACUCGCCGGCCGGAAACCUAACCUGGCGUUUCUGCAGACUCGCCUUCCACCGAUCGAUCGCGUCGCGUCGGUGGUUGUGCGGAGUAGCGGCUUGGAACAGCGUAGUCCAGGCAAUUCUGCGGGUGAUGAUUUCUCUGGCUGGGCGAAUGGUGAUGAUUUCUCUGGCUGGGCGAAUGGUGAUCCCAAGCCGACGCUUGUAGGUUCUGAACAUUUUUUCACUUCAGCAGGCAUACCUGCUCCAUCUUUUGUCCCUGCAGCUCUGCUUUCCCUUCCAGGGAAGGUCUUGGUUCCGGCUUUUGUUGAUCAACAUCAUAGUCAAGCAUUUUCUGCUUUGCAAGACUUGAAGGUCAUUGAAGAUGGUGUUCAACCUGGAGACCUAUGUACACAGCGGGAGUAUGCUCGUUGGCUACUAAAAGCUAGCAAUGCUCUUUCCAGGAACACAACAUCCGAAGUCUUACCUGCUAUAUACAUCAAAAAUGUUACUGAACUUUCCUUUGAUGACAUUACACCUGAAGACCCUGAUUUCCCAUACAUUCAAGGCUUGGCAGAGGCUAGAAUUAUUGCCAGCAAGCUUUCAAGACAUGACAUGCAAUCAUACGGCGAUGAAGACAGGAAUCCUUCAUAUUUCUUUCCUGAUAGCCUCUUAUCCCCGUCAAGAUCUCGUGAGUUCUUGAGAAAACACAGCUACCAACAGUUGACAAAAAGGUUGUCUCAUAAUUGUAAAAUACUCCUUCCGUCCCACAAGAAUAUGCACUUUUUCCUUUUUAGUCCAUCUCACAAGAAUAUGCACUUUCUAAUUUUGGUUCUAACUUUGCUUUCUUUUGUUAUAUUUGGAGUUAAGAUUGUGCAGCAGUUAACUAGAUUCAUGGAUAUUGACAAUGUAAACACAGAUGCAUGGCCUGCAGUGGUAGCUGACGUAGCAGCUGGUGAUAAGGGCAUUAUAGCUCUUGCAUUUGGAAACACAAGACGUUUCACCUGUGACAAAAGCACAGGCUGCCAUUGCACUUACUGGGGAUGCUUCAGCCAAUUGGAAUAACAUACUGAAACUUUUGAAGGGAAUUGUAGAAAAAGCUUGUAUGAUGAUAAGGUAAUCAUAUACUAGUUUUGGUUGGAAAUUAGAUAGAUGUUUCACCAAUCAAGUUACUGGAUCCACACGUAAAUAAGACUUUCUACUCAUUCUCUCACAAUAUCUCUCGUGCCAUUUUCUAAUGUUGCAGUAAUAUUUCUUCACAAUAUGAAUUUAUGUUUUUUUUUACUUUAUCUGGAAGGAAACAAUUGAGCUUGUUUGAAAUUUCACUUUUUCUUUAUGAUGAAAUUGUAAUUUCUUCUCCAUUAUUAUGUACUAAUAUAAACUGUGUAUUUUGUAUUUUAAUGAUUAUAUUUUUACUAUGAAUGUGAUACUAAUAUAAGAAGAUAAAAUUUUUAGAUUUUAGUAUAUAUUUGAACUAAAAUUUGUAAAUAUAAAAUUUAGCGUUUAAUUUAUACUAAGUCUUAACUAAGUAUUUGUUUUCUCUUUACUAUAUAUAAAAAUUUUAUAAUUUGAUAUUCAAAUUAAUUAAAACAAUAAAAAGUAAAAUAGGAAACCAACUUACAAGCACAGCCGUUUUGUCUAAAUUAAGUAAAAAUGGAGUAAAUUAAUAUUGUCGAGAUAUAUAGUUUGAUACAUUGGGCUAAAAGUGAAUAUAUGAGAGAAUCAGUAAUUAUUUUUUAUUAUUUUUCUUAAUGGGUGUCCACUUCUCAAUUUUCAAUUAGUACUCGUUUGAUAAAAAAGAUGGGAUAUGAGAAGAUAUGGAAAACAAGAUAAGAAAUACGGGCUCCAUGUCAAGAUAUGCAAAGAAAUAUUUUUUUUCGUUGCUGCUAGAAAAGAAAUUAUCUAAAUUUGUAUAGUAUAUUAAAUAACAUGUCUUAACUUGACAAAUUGGCGGGUUACAUAAACAUGGUUAAAGUUAUAAUUUUGGUAAGAUUUGGGAGGGUUGGCGGGUUACAUAAACAUGGUUAAAGUUAUAAUUUUGGUAAGAUUUGGGAGGGUCCUGGGCUUUGAGUUAAACUUAAUUAUGAUAUCAAACAAUUAGAAAUGUUGUAAUACCCCGAAAAAAUAAAGGAGGAAAAAAAAAUCAAAUAAAUCUAAUUAAAUCUUUUCCUAGUUGAUUUGGUCAAAUAUAUUUCUCUAAACCAUAUCAUCAAACGAUUUCCCCAUAUCUAUACUCCCUAAAUCUCUCCAACCACCAAAUCCAUCAAUAUGUAUCAGUUUCACCUAUAUAUAUCCCAUCAAUUCCACACGUCAAACCAUUCUCUCAAAAUUAGAAGGAACAAAACGUGAGGGUAAGAGAGAGACAGAAGUUCCAGCAGCCAGGGAGGGUGAUUUUUGUCAAUGCCAUCUGCUUGAUCAAUUUUCAUUCUACACCAAAGGCAGGCGUGGCGGCGGCAGGCUGUCCCGGCGAAACAUCAGCGCCUGCCCAGCGGCGACGACCGGAUCUGCAGCAGCGGUGACCCCAUUGGAGCCGACGGGAUUUUUGUGGAGGGGUACGCCGAGUUUUAAUUUGGAGAGUGUUCUGUUUUGGGGAUUUCUUUUGUUCUCGUCGAGAGAGAAAGAUGGAGGUUUGGGAGGCGAGAAAGUGAGGGAAAGGAGUAUAGCAUGUGUUGAAAUUGGGACUAUUUAAUCCUCGUCCCUUUUGUUUUAUUAUGUUAAUAUUCUAGUGUUGAUUAUAGUUAGUGGGUGUGUACACGUGGAAUGGAAGUAAAUACAUAUAUUUAAUAGUAUCAGUUUUAAUAA